UGGUGUAUCGUUGAUAUAUUUAAGUUUUUUACAAAAGAUUUUUUAAUUAAGUAAAUGUAUGUAAAUGUGUUGUUUAUGUUAUUGUUUAUUGUGCAGUGUUAAACCAAGGAAAGACAUGAGUAAAAAAUACAUAUUCAUUGUUAUAAUAUUUUUAAAUGAAAAUCAAUACCAACCUAGGAGAACAGGAGCACAUUUCAACUGUAUUUCCUAUUAAAUCGCUAUACGUACUGAUAAACAGAUAAAGAAAAAAUUUUGUUCGUUUUCGUUUCGGUUUUUUGUAGAUAAGAAAUUUUGCUUACAUUCUAUGCUAGAUAUUUAAAUACAAAAAGUAUGUGUUUUAAAGCAGAAAAGGAACUCCAAAAUUACGAACACUAAUGCAAUAACAAAAACGUUAAAUAACAAAAACGUUAAAUAGCAAAAUCUACAGUUGUACAACUGCAUAACUAAAAUUAAAAUGAAAAAAUUAUAAGUUUUCAUCAACUUAUAAUAACGCAGCGUGACUAGCGUGCCAGCGACGUGGGCAAGCUAUAUCGUCUACGAUUUUUAAAAAGGACACUUUCUCAGGGCAGGUGCCCUUACCAAAAAUGGGUAAACUGCUGUAAAUUGCUCAACAAUAGUCAUAUGAAUACCAAAUUGUGUGUAUUAAUUUCAAUAAUAAAUAUGUAUAACGCAAAUGUAGCAUUUUAUCAGUGCUACUCUACUGUUAUAUAACAUGGAACCUUAGACCAGGCGCAUAUCAGAGCAUCGAGCAUGGAGUGGAAUUGUGUUUGGCCACAUUUUUUCCAAGCGUUCCAGCAAAGUCGUCCAUUAUAUAUGUAUAACGGAUAGAGAAAGGAUUACGAUAGGACAAAACAGAAACUGCAAACUUGCCAUACACUUUUAUAAAUCUUAGUAGCUAGUAUCCGACACAAAAAUGUCCCCAUACAUGGUGUGCCGUAAUCAGACCUAUCACGAUCGGGGCUCGUAGCUCACUCCUUCUUAGGCUGAGAAGGAAUUUCGUCACCACACUGUCUGCCUAUCAGGAAACACUUGGUUGCUUUGCAGGUUCGCCAAUUCAUCCGACACUAAGCAUAAUUUAAUUCUAGAUUUCGCUAUUUAAUUUUCAUAUUUUGUUAAAAAAUAAUAAUUUGUAUGGAAAAUUUGUUGCAUAUUUUAUGAAAAUAAAGGUUAAUAAAUGAAUGUUUGCUAAAGAAAUUUUUGGGCAGAAAUACCGACUUUUUUGGUUCCAGCCUUCACCGAUUUCAAUGUCAGUUUUUUACUAUUUCUUUUUAUCUUGUACGGUCAGGAACACGUGUCGGCCAUUUCCUCCGCAGACUACACGCAGACAUCGCAAGAAUGAUCCUGGGAUGUAAUCCAUUAGGCCAACGCAGUCGUGGGUGUUAAAAUAAAUACUUCUAUUUGCUGCACUCAGAACGACAGCAAAAGUUAACAUUUCUUGAAGCCAAGCAAAGGCCUUAACCAAAGACAGAAAUUUGUAAGUAGAAUGAGCUCAUUAUCUAACAAAAGCCAUAUAAGUCCAAAUUUACAUUUAAAAUUUUGUAGAAAAAUUACAAAAAUUCAAAAAAAAAAUUUUACAACAAACUUUUUUUUAGAAUUAUUAGAAAAGUUCUAAGUAGGCAGUUGUACUAUAGCCCAUUAUUCCAUGCAAAAAAUUUUUUAGAACAUUCUUUGUAUGGAAGAAAAUGCGUGACACCAUCCACACAAAAAAAUGGAUCCUAAAUUUUACGUAAAUAAUAAAUGCUAGUCUUAAAAAUUUCCCAACAUCUACUUGCGUUCUAAUCGCUUCGGAAAAUUUCUUGACUUACAUUUGUUUCAAACCCGGAGAGGAUGUCUCCUUGCCGAAGCCAAAGAAGGACAUCCAUUAACAUAUGCCUAUCAUGAACAAUCAAAUCAUUUGGGUUAAGUUAAAUCUAAAACUCAGACACAGGCCUAGAUAGUUUUGGUAGAUAUAUCUCUAGUUACUAAUUCACUUUCCUCUAUUUAAAUCGGGUAUGGCAGCUUUUACAUAUUGUUGAGCUUUGCUAUAAAGUUAAGGUUACUAUAAGCCUUGAGUGCUAUCUAUUUCUUACCUAUGUACAUACAUAUCGCACGUUUAAUAAUAUAGAGAUGUAACUCAAAAUUUACGUUCCUAGAGAUUUCCUCAUACAAUUAAUAAGCUUGAUAAGUAGAACAUGUUCAGCUUAACAGAUGGCUAAACUUCCCAAAGAUGGCGAAGGUAUGGGUCUUUUCAACUGUCUUUUUGUACACCAACUGUAUGAAUUGAUCCAACUUUGAUUGCGUUUUCCCACAAAAUUUAAAUUUUGAAAUACUUCUGUAUAUUAUUAAACGUGCGAUAUGUGCCUACUAUAUAUCGACCCGUUUGCGCAAAAUUAUCGUAUGUUACAAAAACCAAAUACUUAAGUUUAGAUUUGUAGAGAUAAUUCAGAAAUAUAGCUAAACGCAAGACCUUUUUUGUAGAAAGGUUUUCACGUUCUAAUUUCCUAGCAUAUACAAACGAUAAUUUCGACCACAAGAAAAAAUUCAUUAUCCCAUACGAUAAAAUUUACAGCCAAUUUUUGGGGCGAACAGGUGGAUGUAAUAUGGGGUGCAGAACAAAGUUGCAUCAAAAAGUAAAAUUCGUAAAAAAUUUAACAUACGAUACUUUCGCGCAAAGAAGUCUAAAUAUACUGUCGUUACGAUAUCGAUAGUCCUCUGCAAUAAUGACAAAACCCAAAACUAAAAAAAAACUUACUACUGUUAAGUGGCUCUCUAAUCCUUGUCUAAUCCAUGUUUAAUCCUUACUACUUCCUUUAAGAGAAAAAAAUUCUUCAGUUCAAAAGAAGAAUAAGAGCAGCGAAAAAAGUACCGAACAUGCAAGCGCGCUACAAUAACACAUUUAAAAGCUAAAUCUGAAAGAUGUGCGUACAUUCAAAUACAAAUGCACAGUGCAGGCCACGAAGCAGAUGAAAUGAGAAGAUUCCUUCUUAACCCCAUAAUUGCAGAGCAUCAGUCUCUUUUAUUUGCUAAUGCCCAAUGUUGACAAGCAUGAAGAAAUGCGAAUGCUUAAUAUACAAAUUUAGGUACAAAAAUUGAUUUCAUAUCCAGUUUUUAAGAAAUUAGAGACAAGUGCUCUGCACUAACGAGUUUAGGUAGCCUUUUUAAUUCACUGAGUAUAAAAUGGAAGUUGAGUUCGUAAUGUGAUGAUAGUUUGAAAAUUUAAUGGUCACUGCAUUGAAAUGUGCUUUUUUUUUGAUAUUCGGUGAUAAAUAUUAGAAAAAUGUCAACACCGAAAAUUCCCUAACAAGUUAAAUUGCAACUGCUCGUGUACUCAACAGCUUGAGAAAAAAAAUGCAUUUUUAAACUAAAAUAAACUGAACUGUACACUAUAAUUAAAAUAUAACAAAAUUUAUUUUUUUUUCACAUGCAUUUCCAGCCAAAGGGAAGGGGCAAAUUUCAAAACAUUAAGCAAUUAUAUAAUGCACGAACACAGGCAGACGGACAAAAUUUCUCUACAUAAGAAAUCAAAACAAACAAAAUUGUACGCAUAUAAGUAAGCAAACCCGUCAUUAUGUACAUAUAUUAAAAUACAUACAUUAUUUUAUUGAAUUUGGAAGUUGAAAUGUACUUUGCAGAAGUAAUAGAAGUAGUUUUUUUGUUAUAAAACAGUUGGCCAAACAAAAACAGAAGAAGAGAAGUGAUUAAUACAUAGAAGAAAAUAAUUCUUGUUGAAAAUAUAUAUAUAUAUAUAUGUACAUAUGUGCAUACGUAUCAAAAGCAUCAAUUGAAAAGUUUUAAGUAAUUUUUUUUAAUUUUACAGCAGGGAGACUUCAUUUUUUUUUAAAGAACUUUGCAAAACAUUGAGUCAGAGCGAUUCUAUGUUAAAUAAAUGAUUUCAUAUUAGGGCAAUUCAUGAAAACGCGCAAAUGCCUCGUAACUAUGUAAACCUUGUAAACUUACUUAAUUUUGUAU